AUUGAACGCUGGCGGCAGGCCUAACACAUGCAAGUCGAACGGUAACAGGAAACAGCUUGCUGUUUCGCUGACGAGUGGCGGACGGGUGAGUAAUGUCUGGGAAACUGCCUGAUGGAGGGGGAUAACUACUGGAAACGGUAGCUAAUACCGCAUAACGUCGCAAGACCAAAGAGGGGGACCUUCGGGCCUCUUGCCAUCGGAUGUGCCCAGAUGGGAUUAGCUAGUAGGUGGGGUAACGGCUCACCUAGGCGACGAUCCCUAGCUGGUCUGAGAGGGUGACCAGCCACACUGGAACUGAGACACGGUCCAGACUCCUACGGGAGGCAGCAGUGGGGAAUAUUGCACAAUGGGCGCAAGCCUGAUGCAGCCAUGCCGCGUGUAUGAAGAAGGCCUUCGGGUUGUAAAGUACUUUCAGCGGGGAGGAAGGGAGUAAAGUUAAUACCUUUGCGCAUUGACGUUACCCGCAGAAGAAGCACCGGCUAACUCCGUG
rnacentral:rRNA from 1 species